CUGAAUUCAGGACCUCUGGAAGAGC
rnacentral:piRNA from 1 species